rnacentral:lncRNA from 1 species
GUCUAUAGUUUAUAUAAAACACACAUAUAGGUAUGUAAGAUAUGGUAAAAGACGUUUUUUUUCGCUUUGCUUUGCAGAAGUAAAAAUAAAGCUUUUUUCUUUUUCGAAUCAUAUUAACUUUAAAUAACAUAAUAUAGGCUAAUAAUAAUAUUAAAAACAAAAUUAAAAUAAAAACAAACAAACAAACAGAAAAAAAAAUGCAAUAUUACACUAGUAUCGACAUUUAGACAAUGAAAAAAAAAAAAAAAAAAAAACGAACAAAUAAAAAUGUUUUUUCUCCUCUCAAAACAUAAUCAGCGUGUUUAAUCAAUUAUUAAUUUAAUACCCUAGCUAAAUAAUAUAUGUAUUUUAAAAUCAUUUACUUGAAUCGUAUCAAAAUGUUACUAGUAUUAUAUAUUAUGUAUAUAGUUUAGGUAUAAAGUGAAUUUCUAUAUAGAAUUUUGUACAAAAUACUGACUGAACAAUGUUUAUUUACAAAAUAAAAUAUUGUAGUAAUAAUAUUAAAAAACAUUGAUUUGUAUGUACAAAAUAUAUAAAUAAUUUCCUAUAGCAUAUUGUUUUGUAAGUCAUGUAGGCUAUGCAUUUUAUUAAUGGAAAAAAAUGACGACACUGUAAAAAAAAAUAAUAAUAAUAAUUAUAAUAAUAAAUAAAUCUUAAACAAUAAAAAUACAAAGUACGUUGAAUGUACCGUAUAAAAUAUUAUUAUUACGCGUUUAAACAUAUUUAUAAAGCAAAUUAAUGCGAAAAUAUUUUCAAAGAAAUUUACCGUUUAACUAGAAAGAAAAAGAAAAGGAAACAAAUUGAGCUCGUUUGAUGUUCAAAGUUAUCACAAUUAUUGUUAUUAUACGUGUACGUUAGAAAACAGUUGUUAAAAAAAAAAAAAAAAAAAAAAAAAACAGUAAUAAUAAACGUAUAAAAUUGUCUUUUAUGAGUCAUGAAUUACAUCUAUAAGAAAAAAAAACAGAUAUUGUAUUAUUUACAUUAUCACCGUGAUGCGGUUUUGCUUCAAAAUGUUUUACAGUCAUUUUGGAUGUUUUAACAAGGAAAAAAAGAAUGAAAUUAUAGGUCAUUUUUACGUUUAAAGUAAAAACAAAAUAUAUAUAUGGCUAUAAAUAUAAAUAGCAAAAACGAAUAUAAUUAGAAAAAAAAAACAGCCGAUUAUAGGUUACCGGCUAAAGACCAUGUUACCAGUGUUUAACAUAAAAAUUGUUUUUCGGUUUGUAUAAUGGUCAUUUAUGUUAUUGUAUUAAAAUGAAGAAUCCAUCGAUAUAGAUUUCGAAUUACAGAAAAAUAAAAAAAAGCCACAACUUUCUACACUAUAGGGGGAAACAAAUUGAAAAAAAAUCCAAAAAAAAAAAAUGACUUACGUUUUGAAAAACCGCAUGACGUAUGACAGUAUAAUAAUAAUAAUAAUAAUAUAAUUAUAUAUAGAAUUCACUUUAUGUAAAAACAAAUAAAAUAUACACUAGUAUAUAAUUCAUAUAAAAUUGAAAAAUCGAAUAAUUUAAUAUAGUAUUAAUACAAGUCUUUUGAUUCAUUAAUUUUAUAUGUUUUUCCCCCUUUAACUUUUAUUGCUUCGAUCAAUUAUAUAUAUUUUUUUUUUUUUGUAUAUUAUUUAUUCAUUAUUUUUAUUAUUAUAGCCUACAUCACUAUCAAACAUCUUUGUUAAAAACAAGAUACAGAUUCUGUUCUGUUACAAUAUAUUUUUAUAUAUAACAUUAUGAUUUAAAAAAAAAAAAAAAACAAGCGCAAAGGCACCGAUUUUCGGAUAAAACAGUCAGUGUUCACAAUAUUAUUAAUAUUAUAAUAUAGUAUUAUAAAUAAUUUUCUUAUAUCCUAAAAAUAAUAAAACAUUUUACAAAAUCUAGUUUUCAAGUACAACGUUAGUAAUGUUGGAACACAAUUUAACGAUCAAGAAUAAUGUUACAAUUUAACAAAAAAAAAAAAAAAGGUUAAA